CCAAAUGGCGCCCCCUCAAUCUCAUACUGCUGUCGCAUGCUACUACCCUAAUGUCACUAGAAUCGGGAUAGUCCACUCACCUGAGUCCCAUGGUCCCCCCCCCAUCUCUCACAUUCACGCCAUCAAAAUUUUGACAAACUCUAACAACAAAAAAUAUUAUUGUUCCCUCUCACGAUUUUCUUUCAUCCUUUGGACGUAAUUUGGAAUGAAU
rnacentral:lncRNA from 1 species